CUAUUUGAUUUAGCAUCAGAUGCACUUACAAACGCUUGCAAGUGUUUUUCUGAAUUCCAUAUUUCUUUCCUUUGCUGCAGAAGAGGCUAGCCAUCGGGGACCAGAUGUUAUUAAGAUGUUAUUGUGGGGCCCGAGGAUGAUAAAUGGGCCCC